UACGUAGGGCGCAAGCGUUGUCCGGAAUUAUUGGGCGUAAAGAGCUCGUAGGCGGCUUGUCACGUCGGGUGUGAAAGCCCGGGGCUUAACCCCGGGUCUGCAUUCGAUACGGGCUAGCUAGAGUGUGGUAGGGGAGGAUCGGAAUUCCUGGUGUAGCGGUGAAAAUGCGUAGAUAUCUGGAGGAACACCGGUGGCGAAAGCGCGAGACUGGGGCCCGUAACUGAACGCUGAGGAACGAAAAGCCAGGGGAGCGAAAGGGAUUAGGAUAA
rnacentral:rRNA from 1 species